UACGAACCGUCCAAACGUUAUUCGGAAUCACUGGGCUUAAAGAGUCCGUAGGCGGCCAAUUAGGUGAGGUGUGAAAUCCCCCGGCUCAACCGAGGAAUUGCGCUUCAAACCGAUUGGCUAGAGGAAGAUAGAGGAAAGCGGAACUGAUGGUGGAGCGGUGAAAUGCGUUGAUAUCAUCAGGAACACCGGUGGCGAAAGCGGCUUUCUGGGUCUUUUCUGACGCUGAGGGACGAAAGCUAGGGGAGCGAACGGGAUUAGAAACCCUCGUAGUCC
rnacentral:rRNA from 1 species